CCACUGUAGUCCUUGCAGAGGUAUUCAAAGCAGAAACGAUGAGUGUCCACCCCGGCGAUCAGACCCGGGUACGACGGGCAAAGGCAGGCUUCAAGGAGCGGCAACUCCAUCAGUGGAGGUGAAAGGUUGCUGACUCAGAAGGUUUGGAAAGCCCCAUGUCAUUCCUGGCAUAUACCCGGAAUUUAUACUGCCUUCCCGGGAUGAUAUUGAUGAGAGUGAACUUGUUAUUGAAGAGGUGGUCUGCCACAGUUUGCCAAGAACGCCUAACAGAAUCACUCUUGGUGAUCAUGUAGUGCAGCCUGUCGUCUUUCUUCUCAUCUGGAGAGGGAGUCCAAGAGACUGUCACUGUUCCCGACACAUUCUCGUCCAGCUCCACGGGGCCUGGAGGCUUGGGGUCAUCUAGAAAUGGUUUGUUCCCCGGGGCCUCAUUGUGUAGGAUUCCCCAAACAAAUCAUCAUAAUCCCUCAGACACAGAUGCAGAUGGCGGCUGAUAAUUAGGAGGCUGAAACAUGCCAUUUUUAUGAGUAUUGUAUUUGGCUCUGCUGUAGAAGUGUUGCACUGAAACCAGACUGCACCCGCUUAUUCUUCACACUUAAUUGACACAUCAAUGAGGACUGGUGUGUGGUUAAGAUCUUGAUGAAAGAUACAGUGUGGUUACUGUGAGUGUGCCCAUUACCUCCACUGUAAAUUUCUCAUUUAGGCUCAGCACCUAAGCUUAUAGCCUAAUCAGCUGUUUGCAUUGGCUUUUGAUUGGUGCAGGAUUUCUGGUUUCAUAAGCCGUUGUCCUUUACCCAGCAUUGUUGUUGUUCAGUAUGCCUUACCAUUUGAGAAGAAAUAGAAACACUAAAGAAACAAUAGAAAUACACACUGAAGUUUAUGUCCUGGUUUUCUAUAUUUUUUCUCACCCUGAUUGUUAAGAGCCAUAAUGUAGGGCCUUGUGGCGACAAAUGAAGGGAGCUGAAAGGAGGCACUUUUGCAUUCAUCAAGACUUAAAACUCUAAGCGAUUUAGUUGGAUAAGACUUGAUGAAACCCUGCACCAGACCCUCUAUAUCAGAGGGACUUUGUCACUAAUAGCAUUUGUCACAAGUUGUUGAACAUACACUUGGUUUUGCAUUUGGGGACUUUGUUCAGACCCAGUGGUGAAUUUAAAAUUUGACUUGAGGCAAAAAGCAGUAGUGUCAUGUUUUUCUUGCUGCACUGGGAAAAGAAAUUGUAUAAAUUCCCAACAGCUAUAUCAGCUUUAGGUUUGACAUUUGAAAUUAUAUUAAUGUAGAAAAAGAAAAGCUAAAGUUGUCACUUUUGUUCAGCAAGUAGUGCAGUGGGUCCACUAGAAAUAUUGAAAGUAGGAUUUUCAAUGUUGAGAGUUUCUGAAGACAAAGAUUCAACUCACAGCUUUCAGUGACUAAGAUUUGCUCUACAUGCUGCAAUUCCUGAUACAUAUUUAAGAAGGAAACUCAAACUGAGAUCAGAACAGGGACCAUAGCUACCAUUGAGGACACUGAGUGCAUUAGCAACUUAGAGGUACUUUAUAUUCUCAAUUGAAAAGCUUAGACAUAGUGGAUAUAAGCUAAUUUAAUUAUUUUUAGACUUAAUUUCUGUUUCUGUCAAGUUUUGCAUCU